GACGAACGCUGGCGGCGUGCUUAACACAUGCAAGUCGAACGGAAGGGCCCUGCUUUUGUGGGGUGCUCGAGUGGCGAACGGGUGAGUAACACGUGAGUAACCUGCCCUUGACUUUGGGAUAACUUCAGGAAACUGGGGCUAAUACCGGAUAGGAGCUCCUGCUGCAUGGUGGUGGUUGGAAAGUUUCGGCGGUUGGGGAUGGACUCGCGGCUUACCAGCUGGUUGGUGGGGUAGUUGCUUACCAAGGCUUUGACGGGUAGCCGGCCUGGGAGGGUGACCGGCCACAUUGGGACUGAGAUACGGCCCAGACUCCUACGGGAGGCAGCAGUGGGAAAUAUUACACAAUGGGCGGAAGCCUGAUGCAGCAACGCCGCGUGCGGGAUGACGGCUUUCGGGUUGUAAACCGCUUUCGCCGGUGACGAAGCGUGAGUGACGGUAAUGGGUAAAGAAGCACCGGCUAACUACGUG
rnacentral:rRNA from 1 species